rnacentral:lncRNA from 1 species
GAACAACUAACAAAACUGUCAGAGUACCCAAAAAUUUCACACUUAAAGCCCCAGGGCCUGGAUAUACUUGUGGACCUGCAAAAGUUGGUAAACCAACUAAAUUCAUUACGUCAGAUAAGAGGAGAGUCACACAAGCUAUGAGUAAGUUUCUUGUUAAAAUCUUUUUGAGUAAUGUAGAGGUGACUGCUUAUAUGUUAUUAUUGUAUUUUCAUCCAUAUAGUUUAGAAGUAUAAUAACACUGAAGUCCUCUAUGUUGUUGUGGGAAAACGUAUGCUCUGUGAAAUGGUCUAAAGGUUGAAGUAAGAUGUAAUAACAGCAGUUGGUUUUUGCUCAUGAUAAUGAGUACUACAAAACAUUCAAUGCCUUGUAACAGUGUUUUAAGUGAACCUUGCCUGUAUCUUAUUGCAGUGACCUGGAAUGUCACAUGCACAUAUUCACAGUUCUUGGCUCAAAAGACACCCACCUGUUGUGUUUCUCUCUCUUCCUUCAACAAUGAAACAACGGUAAGCUGCCCAACGUGUGCUUGUGGCUGUCAAAACAAUGGAACGGAAUCUGGGAGUUGCAUAAAGUAAGUUCUUUCAUUUAUCUUUCGUUUCACAAUUUACCUUUUUUUUUUAUAACACAUUAAAAUAAGACCAUUGGUCUUAUAAGACAUUUAAAAGUGGAUUAGAAACAAUUAGGUGUACCAUAAUUGGCAAAACGUUAUACAAUUUUGAAAAAUACAGUAAAAUAGGAACGUAGUUAAAGAUUAGGCUGAACAUAAAUUAAUGAAGGCACCUAUUUUUCACCGAAGAAUAAACCAUACUUUAUUGUGUGAUCCUUGCCCCCAGAUAUCAGAACAGUGUUUUGAGGAUGGAAAUCCAAAUCAUUUAUAGGCUGCAUUUGCAUCGGCAAAACAAAAGUCAACAAGAGAUAGAUCUUAAGACAUUCACAUCAGAAGGGAGUACAUUAGUGUUUUGAACAGGGUAUAAAAGAAUGGAAGAAUUACUAAGUGGUAGAUUGGUAAAAAGAAAAUUGAAAAAAGCACAAAUAGUCAGUUUUCUAAACUAAAAAUGGAAAUGCAAGAAACUAGACUCCACAGAACAGUUUAAUGUAGUAGAGACUUUUAGAGCAGUUGGCACUCAGCAAUAGCCAGAAAAUAAGGUGGGUUUACUUGUAUAUGAUCAUAAAAAGUCCGUAUGACUGGCCGCACAGGACCAUCCGUUGAAUCUGGCAGCAUCAUUUGCUUCAUUUUUGCGACCUGAAAAAGAAUAUAAGAACUUUGGAGUUAGACACAGACACCCAGAAGAAAAAAGGUCACGAUAAGAUUACAAAUAUCAAAACCUCAAAGAGCUUGAUUGGUGUGUCUGCACUUCCAGUCACAAUAAAUCUUCCAUCAGGACUAAAUCUCGCACAUCUGGCAAUGUUCUAGAAAACGAGACCCAUCAGUCCAUAAACAGAAAACUAACACGAAUUGUAGAAGCCACAUUUAUUUUCCCCUACAAUGGCAUACCUUGUGCUCAGAAAGAUGCCGUGUCUCAUGCUUAGGAAAACUCUUCGACGAGCCUUUUGUGUCUUGUACAGCACUGAUUUUACAGUAGGCAUGCAAUAUUAGUCUUUUUUGUUUCCAUAACAAGUUAACUAAUAACUUCUAACAGAGAACAGAUUUGGGUAUGAAAUCCAGACACCAGCAGUAGUCAUUUCACCGAAAUAUUAGUCCUUGAACACAGUAUUACAUAAUGAGGAAACAAUUAAAGCAAGUGUUUUUGCAGAAAUGCAUUGCCUGAAAUCAACAACAGCAGCAGCACGGGGAGCCGGGAUUGAGCCGUAUGCUGCAGUAGCAGUAGCAGUAGCAGGUAUCAAUGUGCUGGUGUCAUACAAUGAAUUAGACGGAACCCCUCUUAAUAUCUCAUCUUUCUCCACUGCAAGACCCUGUUAUUGCCUUAGAACCAAUGUCCAAAAGUGAUCCAAUAGAAUUUUCUCCAUUAAUUUUUUUAAUUUUAAAAUAAAACCAAUAACCUUGGCAACCAGUUCAGUGAGCCUGUUUUGGGGAGCUUCAGCAUUUAAAGGCGUCAUUGUGGCUGAAGCAACAGCAUUUGCAGCCUACAAAAAAUUAUCAAUUUUGUUUUUCAGUGUGUGUGUGUAUACUAAAGAUUUCGAUAAAAGGAGACAAGGGGGUUGCCUGAGAGAUUAUAUUGUUUAUAGUUAUGUAAUUGGAUUUUAUAAGCAAUUAUUCAUUUACUACCUGUUUAUUCAAAUAUUUUUAAAAAUACACAAACACGUGUGCCGGUUGAAAUUAAUAUUUUAUUACACUCAUCUACUUUCAUCUUGUAUUAAUUAAUAAAUUUAAUAGAAUAUUAAUCAAAUGACCUUUUUAUUCUAUAUGUAAAAUUGUUAUUUUACCUAAAAUAAUAUUGGUGGUAUGUAUUUAUUGGGAAUGACAAAUGUAGAGAAUUACGGUAAUAAUGGUAAAAUUUUAUUUUGUUAAAAUAAUGUGUUUACAACUCUAUAUAUAGGAAGAAAAUAAUAUUAAUAGGUAAACUGUAAAAAAAAAAUAUGGACUUCAAAGCAUGUUAUAAAUGUCAUUUUUUUUAAGACGUUAUUUGCCCUUACAAAUUGAGUAAUGCACAUGGGUUAAGCAAAUACAUCUCCAAGAUACAAUGACUUAUUUGUUUGUUUGCAUUGUGCAUUUACUAAAACAAAUCAUAAUACUCUUAAAUGUUGCAAGCCUGCCAAGAAUCAAUAUAUUAUUCCUACAGAAAACAAUAAAUUGAAUAUUUAAGGCACAAAAAAUAUAUGAUUUAUGAUGAAAUUCAUUUUAAAAAAGAGGACUGAGAAAAGAGUAGUGUAAGAUUAUUAUUUUCAUAUCUAAAUAGCCUAAACAUGUCCCUUAUAUAUAGAUAAACUUGUGCUCCUCUAUUUUGGUUGUCACCUUUUAUGAUAUAUCUCUUCAUUCAUGGCCAUUGGAUCAAGAUUUGAUAUUAAUCAAUGGUUCAAAUUGAACCAUUACCAUUUCAAAUGAAAUGCUACCAUGAAUAAAUGUAUCUUUGAGUAAAAAGAUAUCUCUUUUAUAAGGCGUAAUUAAUUAGAUAUGUCUUUACAUUCAAAUACCAUAUAUUUUGAAAAAUGUUCCAACAAAUAAAUGCCAGAAAAAUAGCAAUUGCAAUUUCUAAUGGGGUGGCAGUUCUUUAAUUAAAUAUAUUAGAACUUUAGAAGGCAAGGCAUAAAUAAAGGUAAUUUAUACCGACUUUAACCAUUAUUUAAGUCACAAAAUAAGGAAAAGCAUUAUAGGGGAGGAAAAAAAAGGCAACAGCAAGUCAACAAUGGCGCAGUGGGAGCUUUAUCAAUAACUCCACAAUCUCGCAACACCUAUUAGCCUCAAUUGCUCACUUUCACUCCCUUCUACUGUAUCUCCCUCAAUUCCCUAUGUGUACUGUGGCCAUGGCGACAAGAAAAUAGCCAAAAGAAAGCGUUUCAAUCACUCCUUCGAGAACCCGAGGCAGUGUGACAAAGAAGAAAGGUAGAGGACCACCCAGAGUGAUGGCUACUACCCGCCGAGGGGAGAUUGGUUUGUGACUAUGAGAAAUUGGGUAGAUUUUUAAGCCUAUUUCGUUGAUGAAAAUGGAUGGAAAUUGCAGAUAAAUUGGCUAAGUCUAAGCGUCAUCAGGCAACAGAGUUAAACACGAAGGUGGUUGAUGGAAACUAGAGAAAAAUGGUGUUUGUUGCUCGCCUCAGUUAGAAAUAGUAUCGUAUUUGUUUUAUUUUUCUUUUUCAAUUGAGCUAAACGACAUUAAUUUUUAUUUUUUUUCCCACAAAUCACGUUAUACGAUGUAGUUUUCACUAUACGAAUAAAAUGACCAUUUACCCCUACAAUGUCAGCAACGUUCUAACAGCAUCAAGAGGGAAAUAAACGAAUGCAUAAAAUGCUAACUUCAAGUGGCGCAUUGAAAAAAAAAAUAUUUGUGUACGUCUGAAAAUGUCCCAAAAAUAAGUGGUCAGUAGAUAAUUAUCCGAAUUUUACCGAUAGAAUUUUUCGUAACCAAGUCACUGUUUGAUUUAGCUUAUUUGAUAGUUUUAUUUAAUUUCGUAAUUUUAAUAGAAUUUUUAAAGAUUAAAUAGGUUGUUUUAUUUUUAUUAGAAAAAUUUUAAAUUUUAAGAUUUUGAAAAUAGAUAUUAAAAAGUUUUCUCAAAAUGUUAACAUAUUUAAAAUAACUUUUAUUUAUUUAACAAUCUUAUCUCAUUUCUUUCGUAACAUAACUUUAAAAAAUUUAUCUGUUAAAAUAAUUUUAUAAAUUUUAAUAAAAAAUCUCAUUGAUAAUUAAACAACUAAUUUUUUUUUUUGUAAAAACUCUAUUUAAAAAAUUAUAGUAAACGAAGAAUCUUAAGUGUUAUCUUAUGUACAAGUGUGAACAUAUUUUAUAUUUGUGCGCGUACUAUUGGCCAAUAUUAAUCUUUUGAGUGAAAAACAUAUUUAUCCUUUAAAACAUUUGAAUGAUAUGUUAAAGAAAACUGAGAAUAUUUUAACUAUUUUUUAAUUUAUGAAGUAACAUGAAAAAAAAAAAGAUCAUACACAUAAAUAAAUUAUGAUCUUAGAUAAAAAAAAAAUGUCUAAGUUAUAAUUUACCUUGAAGAUUCAAGUAUAUAAAAUCCACGUGAGGAUGGCGCGUUACACAUUUUUCACUUGCGGAAGAUUGAAUUCAAGUGGAAGUGGUUUUUCGCAUAUAAGAGAUUGAAACACUCUUAAUAUACGUGAGUUUUCAUGUGACUAAGGGCUUGUUUCUUUGUAAUUGUUUUUAAAAGGUCAAAAGUGAUUUUUUUAAGGAUAAAAAUGUGUUUAAUUCUUAUAUUUUGAAGUUAAUGCAUGUUUAGUCUUUAUAUUUUUUAAAAUAUAUCAAAACAUCCCUGCCGUUAAAUUAUUGACAUCCCUAUCGUUACCUUUUUUUUGGGGCUUGCUUUUACAUUUACCUUCCUACAAUAACGUUCCUUUGUUUUUAGACAUUAAUAAAAAGAAAAAAAAUUAAAUUACCAAUUUAACCCCAAAAUAUAAAAUAGAACAAAAGAAUAUACAUUAAUUUUUGUGGAAUACUCUACUAAGGAGUUAAUAUAUUAAUUUAUUUAUUAAUAUCCAAAAAAAUUGAUAAUUUAAUUUUUUUAGACAUACAUGAGAUUCCACCAAAAUUAAUAUAUAUUUGUUUUAAUUUUAUUUUUGGGAUUAAAUUUGUAAUUUAAUUUUUUAUUAAAGUCCAACAAAAAGAAAUAUUAUUAUAAGAGAGUAAUAUUAUAAAAGCAGGAUAAAAGGAACAAAAUGUAACAACAGUGGCAUCAAUGAUAUAACGACAUAGAUGUUUUGAGAUAUUUUUUUAAAAAAGAGCACUAACCUUAAAAUAUAGUGACUAAAUAAUUUUUUAUCCUUUUUUUUAUAAAUUACUUUUAGUAAACUAACUCAUCAUACAGUAGAUUUUGAAAAGAAAGAAAAGAAUAACAUUUCAAAUUUUAAUUUUGAAAAUAAGUUUUAUACAUAAUACAAUUUCAUACACAUGUAAAAUAUAUUAUAAAAAUCUAAAAUUAUCCUCAAUUCAAUCAAGAAAUAAAACGAUCAAAUUCAAAGCGAUUACUAUUAUUACCAAUUAUAUUGAGAUAACAAAAUAAAAAGUACAAUUAAUAAAAUAAAAAUAUUUAUUUUAGUUAUCAAUUAUUAUAUAUACAUAUAAAAUAAUAUAUAUAUAUAUAUAUAUAUAUAUAUAUAUCUCUCUCUCUCUCUCUCUCUCUCUGUGUGUGUAUGUAUGUAUGUAUUUAUAAAUAUAUAGAUAAGUUUUAUUUAACAUUAUGUUCAUUUCAAUCAUUUAUAUUCUUACAAUAUUUUAGCGGUGAAAUUUACUAAACAUAUACGGUUAUUUUUAAAAUUCACAGCAUUUUUAAAAAUAAAUUUCACCAAACGGUUAAUAGUAACUAUUUCUCUUCACAACUAAUUAUUUCUAUAAUUUAAUUAACAGUAAUUAUUUUAAAAACUAUAAUAUUAUCAAAUUGGCACGAAGAAUAUCAUAAUAAUGUAAAUAAAUGAGAAAAAUGGAAAAAAAAAAACAGAUUUACUAUACUAUAUAAUUUAACACAAUGCUUUUGCAAGUAUUUUACAAUCUCACAAGUCAAUUCACAUAAAAUAACAACCAUUCAAGAGUGAAAAUGACCCAUAGAGACUAGUGAUUAUAUUAUUGAUUAUUUGGAAGAGACAACAGUAGGUUGAACAUUGAGCAAAUUAGGUAUCAUGUUUCCAUCAAUCUUAGGGUAACAUGCAUCAACGACAGCUAUUAUACAUUAGGCUUCAUUGCAUGUCCAAUAUUUUAUUUGAUAAGCAAUAAUUAAAAUAUUCAUACUAUUAAUGUGCAAAAGAGUAUCAUGCAUAACAUACGUUAUGUGAAUAGUAAAGUUACAUAUAAUAUAAUUUACAUUAGAAAUUACAAUCUAAAAGUAAUACUCAGUAAUUUAUAAAAAUUGACUAUUAAAGUUGCAUUUGAAUUUUUUUUUAGUGUUAGUUUAGUUUGAUGUAACUUAAAAAAGUUGUACAUUUGAUUGAUAUAUUUCUUAUUUUUCUGUCGGCACAAAUCCAAUUUCGGGUGGUUGUUUAUUACAAAAAUCUUAAUUUAGACUACAAUUAUUAUUAUUAUUUUUUUUUGGUACUUUAACAUAAUAUGUAAUCGAUAUUCCACAAUUUUGUUGAAGAAAUGUAGGGCACAAAUAAUUAGCUUUACAAGUUUCUUUAGAAUAAAAACAAAAUCUAAUACACGUACACACAUAUAUAUUAAUAACAAAUUGAAACAAUUUGCUGGUGUAGAAGAAGAUUCAGACAAUCAACAGAAACAUCUCUUGAGUCAUCGGGUUUUUUCUCUCCACCGACAGAAUUCGAUUAUAAAAAUUCAAGCCAAGGCCUACAUGGCCCACGUUCCUAGCUGGCUGUGUUUACCGAGUCUUUUUACACCGUUAGAUUUUUUUUUUCCCCGUUUUGACACUUCUACUGUCUACGCGCCCCGCGAACUACCGAAAUUACUACAAUAUCCCUGCUGAUGUUUUUUAUACAUUGGUUUAUUUUAUGAAUUUAUAGAGAAGUUACAAUUUUACCUAAGUAAAUUUUAGUUUGAUUUGUGUUUUCUUAUCUAUUCAUAUGUAUUAUAAUUUUACCUAAGCAAACUUUAGUUUGAUUUGUGUUUUCUUAUCUAUUCAUAUUACAUAAAAUUUUCAUUAAAAAAAAAAAAGAACAAAGAAUUUCAUGGAACUUUGCUUGUAUUGGUAUGAAGCAAAAUUAUACGAACCAUAAAGUGGUCCAAUGAACUCUGUUAAUCAUUAGUAUUAUGUCUCAGCUAACACUUUUUUAAGGAAUAAAAUGAGUAUGAAUCAUUCUUAUUGAAUAAAGAUAUAACAUUUUUCAUUACCAUAAUUUAUUAAUGGAGUUUUUUUUUUUGUAUGUGUUAUUACGAAAAUACUCUGAAUUGUUUCAUCAUUUUGUUACUUGAAUGCCCAGGAUCAGAAUUUAAGAAGAUUGAUGUAUUCAAGUUGACCAUGAGCAUAUAUAAUAAUGAUAAUACAUGUAUGAGAAGUUUUACAAAAGAAUUUUUUUUACCUUAAUAAAGUGAGGAACAAGUUAAAAGAUAAAAUAAAUCACUAAUGCAAUGUAUUUUAUUCUGUACUAUAUUGAAUUUUUUUUUCUUUUAGUUUGUCUUACGGCUUUGAUAUUGAGUUUAAAACGCUAUAAACUUUCUUUUUCGAACUGCAAUGAAUUGUAUUUCAUAAAUUUUGGCAAAAAAAAUGUUUGCUAAAUUUUUUAAAAGUUGCUUAUUAUAACCACCUCAUUAAAUAAGCUACAUACUUUUUUUAAAGUUCUUAGUAUAAUCUUAAUAUUUAAAUAUAUAUUAAACUUAUUUAUAUUUUACCCAUUAAAAUAAUAAACAUGACAUUUUCGUAAUAAAAUUUACUAAUGCAUAUAUUAUAUUUUUUAAAUUCAUAGCAACUGCAACAAUACAAUUUACCUAACAACAAGAUUUUUUUAAUUAAUAACUUAUUUAAUGCACAUUGCUGAAGCAGCUUUUUAAAAAUAAAGAAUUCUCUUAUUAUAAAAUUACUCAUAUUUGUAUACUAUUAUUUUAAAAAAAAAUUGUACAAAUAUAAUAUAUCUACUAAAACUAUUAACAUAAAACAAAUAUUAUAUAUAUAUAUGGCGUACGGCCUACCCCACUCCCAAGAUAAUCACAAUUAUUGGCUAUAACUAACCACUUCCGCAAAAAGAGAGUAAUCUCAUAAUCAAACACAUCAAUUACAUCAAUGAUAACGAUAUUCUUCAAUAACAAGUUUGUUAAGAAAAAUAAACGAUUUUCAUUAAAUUACACUGAAAUUAUAAUAAUAAUUUGUUAACUCCCACAAGGGUAUUAUAGUAAUAUGACUCAGCACGCACGUGAAUGUGAUUACAGUUAACCUUGAGCUAAUUCGUAUAUAAGUCGGACCCUCAGCUAUGUGAAUGAGAAAAGAAGUCUUCUUUACUGCUCUCUCUCUCUCUCUCUGUUUCAUUUCACUUUGAAGCAGAUCUUGAGUUUUGAGUCAUUGAUCAUUCGUUCCUUAGGAAACCUCUACAUCAAGGAAAAUGGAAUCUUUAAGGGGUUCAGUCACUGGAUCCAUUGCCAACAAGCUCAGUGGCUUCACCAUUAUGCUUCUGUUUUUGCUUUCUUGCUCCACUUUUACUUCCACAGGUCAGUCUCUCUCCGGCCUGUGUACAAGUUCCUAAAGAUCAUUUUUUGUGCUUUCUUUAAGUGUUUCUCUUGUUUUCUGAACCUGGGUAUCGGUUAUCUUCUUUAGAAGUGUAACAUUUUGCAUGAAUUUGGACGUUUAAUGGGAAAUUUAGUACUUUACUGAAUUUUUUGUUGCCAACUUUGAUUUGUUAAUUUCUUUAUAUCGUGUAUGUCUUGAGAUUUAAGAAUGGGAUAGGUGGCUAGUGAUAUGCAGGAGAAUAGAAAGAUUUAAUCUUUCACUGAGUUAGUGAGUCAGAACUCAGAAUUUUUUUGAUCUGGUUAAGUCACAAGUUAAAAAAGAGCGUGUUUCUCAUUCAGUGCAAUAAUUUGGUUUAUUUGUUUCCAAGUCAAGUGAUUCAACCUGAAAUGAUUUAUAUUUUCGCAAUAAAUUAUGUUGUGGUCUUGUAAUGAUUUCUACCUACGAUUUGGGGUUUAAACUUUUCAGUUAGCAUAUGCUCGGAGAGUUGAAGAGAAACAGGAUUGAUCCUAUAAUCAUAUUCUAUAUAGUGAAAAUUUCUGGUUGUCUUUGUCAAUGUAGGCCGAAAACCAAAAUAUGCAAAUCAUUUUACGUACUGUGUAUUGCUGUUUGCCGGUGUAUUUUCUUUACUUCUUUUCAAGUUCUUUUCAAGUUUUUCAUCUUGAACCUUAAUUAUGUUUUUGCAAUAUUGAGAACUAACGUUUAUUUUUCUCUAUGAAUGUCUAUGCAGAAGCCUAUGAUGCACUUGAUCCAAAUGGGAAUAUCACAAUAAAAUGGGAUAUAAUGACCUGGAAUCCAGAUGGCUAUGUUGUAAGUAUUAGUUAAUGAUAGAUUCUUCAAUUAUGUAAGGUACAUGCAAAAGUUACCUUGGAAUCAGAAUGAACACUUGCAUUAGAUUAUGAUUCAAGCUAACAUAGCAACAUUUGAUAAUGUUCCUGCGGCUGCCUUCUAGUUGUCCUCUUAAUGUUCUUUUGCAUCAACUCAAGUAUGAGAAAUUUGGAGAAUUCAUCUAGCUCUGAAUCGUGAUAUCUAUUUACUUGAAUUUUAAUGUAAAAUAUCUCUCUUAUUGGUUUUGGCAGGCUGUUGUUACGAUUUUCAACUUCCAACAAUAUCGCCAUAUUCAAGCACCAGGUUGGACAUUGGGGUGGACAUGGGCAAAAAAGGAAGUCAUCUGGAGCAUGAUGGGAGGACUAACAACAGAGCAAGGAGAUUGUUCAAAAUAUAAAGGGAACAUCCCACAUUGCUGCAAGAAGGAUCCAACAGUUGUAGAUUUGUUGCCGGGGACUCCAUAUAACCAGCAGAUUGCAAAUUGUUGCAAAGGGGGAGUAAUAAGCUCCUGGGCACAGGACCCAACUACUGCAUUAAGCUCAUUCCAGCUCAGUGUUGGUGCUGCAGGAACAACUAACAAAACUGUCAGAGUACCCAAAAAUUUCACACUUAAAGCCCCAGGGCCUGGAUAUACUUGUGGACCUGCAAAAGUUGGUAAACCAACUAAAUUCAUUACGUCAGAUAAGAGGAGAGUCACACAAGCUAUGAGUAAGUUUCUUGUUAAAAUCUUUUUGAGUAAUGUAGAGGCGACUGCUUAUAUGUUAUUAUUGUAUUUUCAUCCAUAUAGUUUAGAAGUAUAAUAACACUGAAGUCCUCUAUGUUGUUGUUGGAAAACGUAUGCUCUGUGAAAUGGUCUAAAGGUUGAAGUAAGAUGUAAUAACAGCAGUUGGUUCUUGCUCAUGAUAAUGAGUACUACAAAACAUUCAAUGCCUUGUAACAGUGUUUUAAGUGAACCUUGCCUGUAUCUUAUUGCAGUGACCUGGAAUGUCACAUGCACAUAUUCACAGUUCUUGGCUCAAAAGACACCCACCUGUUGUGUUUCUCUCUCUUCCUUCUACAAUGAAACAAUAGUAAGCUGCCCAACGUGUGCUUGUGGCUGUCAAAACAAUGGAACGGAAUCUGGG